AUGCCCUACCCGUACCCGGUACCGUACCCUAUGCAGUGCCAGAGCUCGCCGUGGAACUGCCCUCCGCAGCAAUGUCACUGCUGCCCUGCCGAAAAGCCACCGCCCCCGCCGCCACCGCCUCCCCCACCGCCGCCGGAGCCCCCCAACUGUGGCUGCGGCAAGCCGCCUAAUUGCUGGCCGCCGCCCACCUGGCCGCCGCAGCAACCCUGCUUCAUGCCGCCACCAUGGUUCACGGAGGAGAACCCGUCGGAUGCCUGCUCCAUCAUGUGA
rnacentral:rRNA from 1 species